UUAUUUGACACGCCUCCUCAGCUUUCCUAUAAGACCGACCGCUGUGCCAAUAUACGAGCACAAUAUCGGUGAGUCGUUCACACCUGGUUUACGCUCGACUAUCAACAACUGCACUAUUCAUCAUGCAUAGCCUUCUGCUCAGGCUAGCUCUGACCCUUCUGCUGGUGUGCCUCAUGGCGCAGCUCAGUCUCCAAAGCGACCCAUGUGCUGGCAAGAGAGGUAUUAAGUUACUAGGUUGCUGCAUACUGAAACCAACCUCACAGUCAUGUUCCACCAGCGAGGGAUAGGAACAAGGGUAUCACCCAAAGCCAAUCUGGUGACGAAUAACUACCCGAGAUGUAGCAUUUCAAUGACAUAUUCAUCAAGUUUUCGUUUUAAUUGUUACAGAAAAUGAAUUGAUGUUUUAAGAAAUUUGGGUAUUGCUUCCGACUAACUGUUGAAUUAAAAAAUAUAUACAGA